CUCAGAACGAACGCUGGCGGCGCGUCUUAAGCAUGCAAGUCGAGCGGUAAGCUGUAGCAAUACAGCCUAGAGCGGCGGACUGGUGAGUAACACGUGGGUGACCUACCCUUAGGAUGGGGAUAGCCACUAGAAAUAGUGGGUAAUACCGAAUGUGGUUACCGGGCUGUGGCCUGGUAAAGAAAGGAGCUUUGGCUCCGCCUGAGGAUGGGCCCGCGUCCCAUUAGCUCGUUGGUGAGGUAACGGCCCACCAAGGCGAUGAUGGGUAGCCGGCCUGAGAGGGUGAACGGCCACACUGGGACUGAGAUACGGCCCAGACUCCUACGGGAGGCAGCAGCUAAGAAUAUUCCGCAAUGGACGAAAGUCUGACGGAGCGACGCCGCGUGGAUGAUGAAGGCCGAAAGGUUGUAAAAUCCUUUUGUCGAUGAAGAAUAAGCAUGGGAGGGAAUGCCCGUGUGAUGACGUUAGUCGGCGAAUAAGCCCCGGCUAAUUACGUGCCAGCAGCCGCGGUAACACGUAAGGGGCGAGCGUUGUUCGGAAUUAUUGGGCGUAAAGGGCGCGUAGGCGGUCCUGUAAGCCCGGCGUGAAAACCUGGAGCUCAACUCCGGGCCUGCGCUGGGAACUGCGGGACUAGAGUCAUGGAAGGGAAGUUGGAAUUCCAGGUGUAGGGGUGAAAUCUGUAGAUAUCUGGAAGAACACCGGUGGCGAAGGCGAACUUCUGGCCAAUGACUGACGCUGAGGCGCGAAAGUGCGGGGAGCAAACAGGAUUAGAUACCCUGGUAGUCCGCACCAUAAACGAUGUACACUAGGCGUUGGGUCGAGUGACUCAGUGCCGAAGCUAACGUGAUAAGUGUACCGCCUGGGGAGUAUGCCCGCAAGGGUGAA
rnacentral:rRNA from 1 species